UCAAGCGUUUAAGGGCGUGUAGUGGAUGCCUUGGCACUGAAAGCCGAUGAAGGACGUGAUAUACUGCGAUAAGUUUCGGGGAGCUGUAUGUAAGUUUUGAUCCGAAAAUUUCCGAAUGGGGAAACCCACCACUUUAUGUGGUACUUUAAACUGAAUACAUAGGUUUAAAGAGACAACCUGGAGAACUGAAACAUCUAAGUAACCAGAGGAAAAGAAAUCAAUUGAGAUUCCGUUAGUAGUGGCGAGCGAACGCGGACUAGGCCAGUAGUUUUGUUAAAAAAAUUUGAAUAGUUUGGAAAUGCUAACCAUAGAGGGUGAUAGUCCCGUAUGAGUAAUGUUUAACAAAAUUCUUGAGUAAAGCGGGACACGUGAAAUCCUGCUCGAAUAUAGGGGGACCACCCUCUAAGCCUAAAUACUCUUCAGUGACCGAUAGUGAACUAGUACCGUGAGGGAAAGGUGAAAAGAACCCCUAUUAGGGGAGUGAAAUAGAACCUGAAACUGCAUGCCUACAAUCAGUCGAAGCUCUUUUUAGAGUGACGGCGUACCUUUUGUAUAAUGGGUCAGUGACUUAAUUUAUUAAGCAAGCUUAAGCCAUCUAGGUGUAGGCGCAGCGAAAGCAAGUCUUAAUAGGGCGAUUAGUUUAAUGAAUUAGACCCGAAAACGAAUGAGCUUACCAUGAGCAGGUUGAAAGUUGGGUAACACCAACCGGAGGACCGAACCAGUUGACGUUGAAAAGUCUUUGGAUGACUUGUGGUAAGGGGUGAAAGGCCAACCAAAUUCGUAGAUAGCUGGUUUUCCGCGAAAACUAUUUAGGUAGUGCGUUGAAUAAAUAGAUGUUUAGAGGUAGAGCACUAAAUGGGCUAGGGGGAAGAGAUUCUUACCAAACCUAAUAAAACUCCGAAUGCUAGACAUUGUUCUUCAACAGACAGACUGUGGGUGCUAAGGUCCAUGGUCGAGAGGGAAAGAGCCCAGACCACCAGAUAAGGUCCCCAAAUUAUGAUUAAGUGUGAAAGGAUGUGGAAAUUCCUUAACAGCCGGGAGGUUGGCUUAGAAGCAGCCAUCCUUUAAAGAUAGCGUAACAGCUCACCGGUCUAAUAGAGUUUCUGCGCCGAAGAUGUAACGGGGCUAAAAUCAUAUACCGAAUCUGUGGGUUUAUAAAACUUUCGAGUUUUAUAAGCGGUAGCGGAACGUUCUGUAAGCCUGUGAAGGGAUACCCGUGAGGGAUCCUGGAGGUAUCAGAAGUGCGAAUGCUGACAUAAGUAACGAUAAAAGAAGUGAAAAACUUCUUCGCCGAAAAUCCAAGGGUUUCUGCGCAAGGUUAAUCCGCGCAGAGUUAGUCGGCACCUAAGGCGAGGGCGAAAGCCGUAGUCGAUGGAAAUAAGGUUAAUAUUCCUUAACCAGAUGGUAGUGACGGAUCUUGUAAGUUGUGUACUCUUAAUGGAUUGAGUAUGCCGCGAAAAGGUUCCAAGAAAUAGCUCCAUCAUUAGACCGUACCCUAAACCGACACAGGUGGAUUAAUAGAGUAUAUUUAGGCGCUUGAGAGAAUGAUGUUGAAGGAACUCGGCAAAAUGCUUCCGUAACUUCGGGAUAAGGAAGACCUGUUUUUAGGCAACUAGAGAUGGGUGGCACAAGCCAGGGAGAAGCGACUGUUUAUCAAAAACACAGGGCUCUGCUAACACGUAAGUGGAUGUAUAGGGUCUGACGCCUGCCCGGUGCUGGAAGGUUAAUGCGGUUGGUGCAAGCUAACUUCUGAAGCCCCAGUAAACGGCGGCCGUAACUAUAACGGUCCUAAGGUAGCGAAAUUCCUUGUCGGGUAAGUUCCGACCUGCA
rnacentral:rRNA from 1 species